rnacentral:rRNA from 1 species
UACGGGGGGAGCAAGCGUUGUUCGGAUUUAUUGGGCGUAAAGAGCGUGUAGGCGGCUAGGUAGGUCCGUUGUGAAAACUCGAGGCUCAACCUCGAGACGCCGAUGGAAACCAUCUGGCUAGAGUCCGGAAGAGGAGAGUGGAAUUCCUGGUGUAGCGGUGAAAUGCGCAGAUAUCAGGAAGAACACCCGUGGCUAAGGCGGCUCUCUAGUACGGUACUGACGCUGAGACGCGAAAGCGUGGGGAGCGAACAGG